UGUUAAGCAGAGAUCAAAGAGUAGAAUGAAGGAAGAAAAAGAAUAUGGGGAUCUGAAAAACCCAUCUAAGAAUUAGCCUCUGAACAAUGAAAUCAACAAUCACGUCUGUAAGGUAAAAUCUGCCUAGAGAAGGCUGAGAUGGAGAAAGUAUCCUAAACCCUGGGGAUCAAAUGACUGACCUGCAGGGAACUCAGAAAGGAGCCCCCAGAAUCGAGACCCCUAAAGACAAAGGCGGCGCGGAAACUACGGAGACUCGAAAUUAAAGACCCUUCCUGAAAAAGAGGAAACGAGAAAAAAGAGGAGCGAGGCGGACAGAUUUCAGAUUACGUGUAAAUGGAAGCAGGGACUAAGUUUUCGAAUCUACCACAAGCCUCAUACCGUUUUCUCACGCAAUCCUGAC